rnacentral:rRNA from 1 species
GACGAACGCUGGCGGCGUGCCUAAUACAUGCAAGUCGAACGCUGAAGGAGGAGCUUGCUUCUCCGGAUGAGUUGCGAACGGGUGAGUAACGCGUAGGUAACCUGCCUUGUAGCGGGGGAUAACUAUUGGAAACGAUAGCUAAUACCGCAUAACAGUAGAUAUCGCAUGAUAUCUGCUUGAAAGGUUCAAUUGCAUCACUACCAGAUGGACCUGCGUUGUAUUGGCUAGUUGGUGAGGUAACGGCUCACCAAGGCGACGAUACAUAGCAGACCUGAGAGGGUGAGCGGCCACACUGGGAGUGAGACAGGGCCCAGACGCCUACGGGAGGGGGCAGUAGGGAAUCGUGGGCAAGGGACGGAAGACUGACCGAGCAACGCCGCGGGAGGGAAGAAGGGUGUCGGAUCGUAAAGCACGGUUGUAGGGGAAGAAAGAGUGUGAGAGUGGAAAGUUCACACUGUGACGGUAUCUUACCAGAAAGCGACGGCUAACUACGUG